UGUUCCAGAUGACUGAGGCCGGAGUGGGAGGACAGAUUGGAGACAUGCUGCAGACUCGGUAGGUGUCCAGCUUCAACGAAUCCUCACAGAAGAUGAGGCAGUCGCGUGGCCCUCCAGGUGUCACGCCUUAACCUGGGCUCUGUUGUCCUUCCGCCAGAAGUAAAUACAGCGAUGUCAGUGAUAUGAUGCAGACUGUCCAGAAUUUAACCCCAGGGAUAGAUGCAAGACGGUUCACCAGGAUCAGCAAUAUCUUCAAACACAGUUCCGCCAGUGUGACAAUUGGCAGGUUGUUAAACUUCCCAAAACUAGCAAUCAGCAAGCCGUCGUGAUAACUCACCACACAUUGACCCUGCAGGUCUCUCACCUCCAACCAGAACAUGUUUCAAGGUGUUUCUUCCUCCAGACCAGAACAUGUUUCAAGAUUGUUUUAACCUCCAGACCAGAACUUCAUUUCUAAGGUGUUCCACCUCCAGACCGACCAGAAACAUGUUUCUGCAGGUGUUCCGCCACCAAACCAGAACUUGUUCAAAGGUGUUUCGCCUCCCAACCGAAUCAACUUCGUUUCUGCAAGAUUAUUACCACCUCCAGAUCAGAACAAUGUUUCAAAAGGUGUUCCACCUCCAGAACCAGAACAUGUUUCGGGUGUUCUACCUCCAGACCAGAAUGGGAACAUGUUUGAGGUGUUCUCUUUCCUCCAGAUCAGAACAUCCUUCAAGGUGUUCAACCACCAAACCAGAAGCGUGAUCCCAAUAUGGGACUACGCAGAAGCAUUCCCUCAGGAAUGUUCUAGUAUGACUUCGGGCAAGCACCCUCACGAAGAUUCCACAGUUCCUUUAUGGAUUAUAGUUCCAGUUCUCACCCACGGGCCAGUGUUGACAAAAUUCCACAGGUAGUAAUCUUCACUCUGGCCUUGCCCUCAAGGCUCUUGUUCAGCUUUGAUUACACCUCUACAAGUUAUCAUGCGCUAUUAUCAACCCCACUUCCUAGUUAUGAAGCUCCUAAACCACCACCGCCACCUCCUGUAUGAGAUGUGUGACUUCGAUCUUGUAGGUGUGAGGUCGGAAUUCAUCAAGGUGAUAGAUCUUUAGCACAGCAUAUCAUGGAGAAAGCAAUGAAGAUGUCUCGAUAACUUUAAGUCCCAUUAGGUUUGCUUUUAUGAUUUUGUUUAUGGAUGUCAACCCCAAAUAGAGGAAAUGGAGAUCUAUGUUUUGCUGCAUUUUUCUUACACAUUUAAGAAUUAAGUGCAAACAGAUAGCCUGAUUGGCAUGUGUUCAUUUCAAAAAGGUGCUUGGGGAGGUGGGUAGCCCAGUGGUUAAGCGUUAAGCCGUCAAUACACUUAAAGACCCGGCUUAGAUUCCUUGAAAUAGGUAACGCAGGAAGCCCAUUUUGGGGUUCCUUACCAUAAUA